rnacentral:rRNA from 1 species
GGGGGAUAACAGUUAGAAAUGACUGCUAAUACCGCAUAAAACAGCAGCACCGCAUGGUGCAACUGUCAAAGAUUUAUCGGUGUAAGAUGGACCCGCGUCUGAUUAGCCAGUUGGUGGGGUAACGGCCUACCAAAGCGACGAUCAGUAGCCGACCUGAGAGGGUGACCGGCCAUAUUGGGACUGAGACACGGCCCAAACUCCCACGGGAGGCAGCAGUGGGGAAUAUUGGACAAUGGGCGAAAGCCUGAUCCAGCGACGCCGCGUGAGCGAUGAAGUAUUUCGGUAUGUAAAGCUCUAUCAGCAGGGAAGAAAAUGACGGUACCUGACUAAGAAGCCCCGGCUAACUACGUGCCAGCAGCCGCGGUAAUACGUAGGGGGCAAGCGUUAUCCGGAUUUACUGGGUGUAAAGGGAGCGUAGACGGAAGUGCAAGUCAGAAGUGAAAGCCCGGGGCUUAACCCCGGGACUGCUUUUGAAACUGUGCAUCUAGAGUGCAGGAGAGGUAAGCGGAAUUCCUAGUGUAGCGGUGAAAUGCGUAGAUAUUAGGAGGAACACCGGUGGCGAAGGCGGCUUACUGGACUGUAACUGACGUU